rnacentral:rRNA from 1 species
GAACUUUCCAGAGAUGGAUUGGUGCCUUCGGGAACUGUGAGACAGGUGCUGCAUGGCUGUCGUCAGCUCGUGUUGUGAAAUGUUGGGUUAAGUCCCGCAACGAGCGCAACCCUUAUCCUUUGUUGCCAGCGGUCCGGCCGGGAACUCAAAGGAGACUGCCAGUGAUAAACUGGAGGAAGGUGGGGAUGACGUCAAGUCAUCAUGGCCCUUACGACCAGGGCUACACACGUGCUACAAUGGCGCAUACAAAGAGAAGCGACCUCGCGAGAGCAAGCGGACCUCAUAAAGUGCGUCGUAGUCCGGAUUGGAGUCUGCAACUCGACUCCAUGAAGUCGGAAUCGCUAGUAAUCGUGGAUCAGAAUGCCACG